rnacentral:sRNA from 1 species
AGACACACACACACAACACAACACAACGCUUCUGUGAUGUAUUCACAGAACUAAAAAAAAGAAUUUUCUUAUGAAUUUUGAACCUGUAAUAUUAUUGACAUCAAUGUGAUGCAUAAUUUUAAGCAUUAUAUUUACACAGAAAUUUGAUGAUGAUGAUUUUUGAAAAUGUUUACAAAAGUAUAAAUCUCGUUUUCCCCCAGACAUUUUGUGUAGAGUGUGAUUGAACAUGCUUGUUAUUUAGUUCUCUUGUAAAAAAAGAUCAAUACUAAUAGUAUAUAUAGUGAGGGUUUCAUAAAGAUCCUUAUUGUAGUGUACCAUGUGCUUUGAACAUGCUCACAUACCAUCACCUUUCUGGAAAUUCUAUUUCAGUUUUUCCUAUUCCUUCCUUCUCCAGAAUUGUUACUUAAAUAUUUGUGUUUAUUUUUAGUUUCUUUAUAUAAAUGCUUACCUACAAAUAUAGGAGUGCACCACUAACAUGCUUGGUGGUCACAGAAGUAAGGAAAGUGUGUCUGGUGAUCCCCCUAACUAUGCAGUUUUGAAACCAAUUCUCCAUUCUUUCCAAUGUCUUUCUGAGGGUUCUCGGGUAUCUAUAUGCGAUCCUUUCUGUUUAUCUCUCAGAAUCCUGUCUACAGCUGAGAUAAAGACCUAGUACUGACACUUCUCUUUUCCAUAACUUGGGUACCAUUAGCUAAAAAUGUCUACCUAUGGACUGUCUUAUCUUCUAGCACCUUGUGUUGUUGAGUUCCUUUGUGAAAUUUCUUAAUCUUUGCCCUAAGCACCCUGAAACUUUGGCCUAUGGUACAAAAUUGUGAAUGCAAGACAUGGCACUCAGCAAAAUAUAUCGCUUUCAGGUGACAAAAUGAAUAUAGAAGUCUCUAUCAAUUCUUUCAUGUUUUUCCCCUCCUAGAAUAUGUACGGUAAAAUUUUAUAUUUAAUUUAGUCAUAUCAACAAAUCCACAGAGAACUGGCUGUUCUUGGAGUUGCACCAUCUUCUUGUAUAGCAAGGAGCAGUUCUCAUCAUGGUUUUUCCUCUCAUACGGAAACCACCUGUAGUGUGGUCCUCUCCUCCUUUUUUGGAUCAAUAGUUGCUUUUUUGAUUUAUUGAUUGUGGAUACACAACUUCCAGGUAUACACUUUUCUAUUUCCUUCUGAGUAUCAAAUAGCCUAUAGGCAGUGAAGUAAGAUAAAAUUCUGCUCUGAAUCUCUGAAUACAUGAAAAUUUUAUUAUAACGUUUUUGUUUCCUUUCAGUACAGAAGAGACUUUAAACUGCUGAAUUGGUAUAAUAGAUUUUCCUUAAGAGUUUUAAACCUGUAAGAUCAUAUACUUCAAUAUGAUGCAAAAUUGUAAGCACUAUAUCAGCACAGAAAUUUGAUGAUAUUGGAAAAUAUUUACAAACCUAUAAAUUUUGCUUCUCCCUAGAAAAAUCACCUCAGGUUUAAGAUCAAAGAGAUAUGUGAAUUUUAUAUAUAAUAAAUGCUUAGCUAUUAGGAAAAUUGUAGGCAAGAUAUGAUUUAAAACUCCUAAAGAAUAUUUACCUUUUAACAGAAACAACGUGUCUUAUUUGUCUAUUUUAAUGGUAUUUUUCUAAUUUUUUCUAAAUCUUCAGGCUCACCCUGUGACCCCUCCUUGAUCCUGAACUGUGCUCCAUGCAAUGUCAUCUGCUCCAUUACUUUCCAGAAUCAUUUUGAUUAUAAAGAUAAGGAAAUGCUUACGUUCAUGGAAAAAGUGAAUGAGAAUCUCAAGAUUAUGAGCUCCCCAUGGAUGCAGGUCUGCAAUAGUUUUCCUUCACUCAUUGACUAUUUUCCUGGAACUCAUCACAAAAUAGCAAAAAAUAUUAAUUAUAUGAAAAGCUAUUUGUUGAAGAAAAUAGAAGAACACCAGGAAUCAUUGGAUGUUACAAACCCUCGUGAUUUUGUUGAUUAUUACCUGAUUAAACAAAAACAGG